UGUUUCUUCACCAGUGUCUUCUGAGAUAGAACCCAUAAGCAACCCCCAUUCAGUAUUAAUCCCAACACUUGUUACCAACAUUGUGCCACAACCAUCUGCCACUUUGCAGCCAGACAAUAGAAAUGGUUCCCUCGAGUUCUUGUGAACAAUCUUGCUCUCUCCAGUCAUGCUUGAUUCAUCAAUUCCAAGAGAGUGACCAGAUAUCAAAAUUCCAUCAGCAGGUACCUGGUCACCAAUGUUGAGGGGCACAACAUCACCAACAACAACAUCAAAUAUUGAAACCUCAACUCUUCUACCACCCCUUAUAACCUGCAAAUGUAUGUUUCUCUUCUCUGCAAUUAUAUUUUGGAACCGAAGAGAUUGUCUGUAAUCACUUGUGGCUGUCACAACAAUGAUAAUAAUAACAGCAAAUGUAAUGCCAGCCCCAUCAUACCAUCCUCUCUUAAUACCCUCUUUACGUAUACCCAAAGCCAAAGAAAUCACUGCAGCCACCACCAAUAUAAUCAAAGUAUAAUCUUGACAAGCUUCCCAAAGGAACCUCCAAAAGCUUCUUCCUUUUGGCUGGGGAUAGGUGUUGGAUCCAAAUUCAUUCCUUCGUUUGAGUAAAUCAGCAUAAUCUCCAAGAAUCCCCUUUUCUACAUUUGUUUUUAAAAGAUCUGAAACCCCAUUUACCCCCCCAAUUUGCUCCAAAGUAUAGAAAUCGUGAUCCCUCAUCAUUGUACACAGUUCAUCUCGUCCAAUUCCAAAAUCACCACUAGGUUUUGGAUGGAAUGGAGCAUUUUCUGGUGCGCUAGCUUUGCUGAAAGAAUGUGCAGCCCUCCAGCGGCGCAGACGUUCUACAGAAGCGGUUUUUGUUCUAGGUAUAUGAAAAGGACUAUCCUCGUAGUCGUCCACCCAAUGGCCAGCCUCCACAUCAUUUCGCCGUCUGUACGGCGAGCCGCUGGACAAACUAGCCAUUAUUGUUCACUAGUCGACCAAAAAGAUUUCCCUGCUUCCGCACGUACGUAGAUCAAAUUCAUUAGACUUUUUUAAUGAGCGCGCUCUGCUUCUCUUUGUUUUUUGGUUUUGUUUUGCUUGUUUUACUACCCGACAAAAAUCACAGCAGCAGCAUAUGACUCCUCUCUUGAAUGAAGACCAAUGAGCAAAGAAGCACAAUGGUAGACACGGCAAAGGAUAACCACUCCAAACUAGCUCUCUGAAAAGUAAAGUGCAGUAAGGGGCGGACGAAUGGUGAGGAUUGAAGAGUAUAAAAUGACAAAAAAGUGCAAAUUCGUCCAUCUUGAUUUUCU
rnacentral:misc_RNA from 1 species